GAACGAGAGGCUCCGGGCCUUCACAGGCGCACGGGUGCGUAACACGUGGGAAUCUGCCCUCUGGUACGGAAUAACUCAGGGAAACUUGAGCUAAUACCGUAUAAUGACUUCGGUCCAAAGAUUUAUCGCCUGAGGAUGAGCCCGCGUCGGAUUAGCUAGUUGGUGAGGUAAAAGCUCACCAAGGCGACGAUCCGUAGCUGGUCUGAGAGGAUGAUCAGCCACACUGGGACUGAGACACGGCCCAGACUCCUACGGGAGGCAGCAGUGGGGAAUAUUGGACAAUGGGCGAAAGCCUGAUCCAGCAAUGCCGCGUGAGUGAUGAAGGCCUUAGGGUUGUAAAGCUCUUUUACCCGGGAUGAUAAUGACAGUACCGGGAGAAUAAGCCCCGGCUAACUCCGUGCCAGCAGCCGCGGUAAU
rnacentral:rRNA from 1 species